CUAUGUCCAGGCAAUCAAGAGAGAGGGCUGGGCAUCACCAAGGGCGCCAUGCCAGGACUUUGAGAGGAGGCGGAGGAGGAGGUCUGAGGUGGAGCGGCCCUUCUGAAAACCAAAACGCUUCAGUGACUCCGGGCGGAUCCCCUCGAGGAAGGAUGUCAGCUGCUCCCCGAUGAUCCUCUCAAGUAUCCUGCCGAUGACUGGGAGGAGCUAUUGGAUGUUUUCUUGUCCAGGCUUGUCUGUGUAGGGCCCUGUUUUCCUGUGUGGGGUGCUGGUGUGCUGGACGGUGCUGGUCUGGGCGGAGAUGCCGUGCUGUGGGUCACCGUUAAGGACUGUGCCCCAUGCUGUGACCUCGGUGAAGACCCUCGCCUCCAGGUGUUGAUGGAAGGAGCCGAGAUGAGACCAGACUCAGCCCUCCAGUGAGACCAGGAGACCACCAGGGGGACACCCACGCACCUCAUGGCUUGGGGGGGGUCACAUGGAGGCUGUGGAGCACUCCGGCCAAGAGUACCCCAUCAUGGCUGCAGGCAGUGUGUUCCCUCAGCCGAUGUCUUUGGGCGGUCUCGCUUCAGCCCCUGGUCGUGUGCUGAGCGUGGUCUUGGCCCCUCCACUGAUGCACCUCAUGUUCUGGACCAGUGGUUCUUAACCCUUUCAGAGGCAUUCAACCCUAACAACCCCUCAAGUAGGAAGAAAAAAAAUCAUGCAAAAAUGAAGAAAAAUGGCUUUAAAAUUCGAGUAUAUUUGCAUAAUACAACAAAAUAAAUCUCCUUUUAAUUAACACAAAAAAUGAAAGAUAAGCUUCCAUAAAAUUGUUACAAAACUGCAGUGUGAUCCAGAGAGCUUUCCCGAACCCAAUACUGGCUCUCCCAACCCCUGGGGUCCACCUGAACCCUGCUUAAGAACCACUGCUCUAGAUGAACCAGUGUUGUGUUCACAGGGGUGUUCACAGGGGUGUUCAC